rnacentral:sRNA from 1 species
CGGGACGAACAUAACUAAGGAGGGGGCAGUGUUAUGACUCUACAUUGCGCACUGUCAUUUGGCGCGACAUUGUGUACCAGAGGACACGAUAGAGAACAGAGGAAGGAAGAUGGCCGAUGAUUAGAGAUGUAAACAAGAAGGCCUGAGAUGUGAUUCUAAGUUUGGCUCUAGAUUCUAUAAUAAGGUUGAAGUACCUUCGGUAGAAGAACAAACUUACCACCAGUUACCGUUCAGUG